AUGUUUUCCCAAAAUUUAGAUAAAUUAAUUUUUUUUAAAAGGCCUAGUGUAUUUAUUAUUUUUUUUUACUAGCCGUGUAUAUUGAUAAAAUUGAUGUAAGCCCUUUUAUGACAUUUAAAUGUUUGGUAAAUGUUCAGAGUCUUUCUUAACACAUCUAGGUUAGAAAUAAAUUUAUCUUUUUAUAAAAUAAAAUGAAUUGAAAGAAUUGGAUUUUGUUGAGGAAGUCAGCACUCUUAAGACUAGAAAUCCACAUUUCUGGCCAGGCACAGUGGCUCACGCCUGUAAUCCCAGCACUUUGGGAGGCUGAGACAGGCAGAUCCGCUUGAGCCUGGGAGCUCAAGACCAGCCUGGGCAACAUAGCUGGACCCUGUCUCAUUUUAUAAAACAAAACAAAAAAUAAAUAAAACAAAAAUCCACAUUUCUGAUUUAGUCCUGAACUAGUGCUGAAUUAGGCUUUUGUUGCCCUGCAAAAAGUAUCACAUAUAUAUUUUUCAGUAUUAUGGAAAGCAGUUAUGGAGGCUUUGAUAUUUGUUAAGUAAAUUUUGUUUAAUAGUUGUAUUGCAAGUUUUUCAUUCUGUAUUUAUAAAAGGAAAAUUCUCCAAAUGAUUGAAUUUAAUGUUGACAUUUAUAACUGAUAAGCAUAUUGUAUGAAGAAACAGAUAUGGCUUCUUUGUCACUAUAUACAACUUAAUUUCUGAAAUGAAUCUAAAGAUAAAUAUUGAGAUUAGUUUGAAUUUUAAGUUGUUGUAAAAGAACUGAGGUCUUAGGAAAAUCUAUCAAAAUGUUAUGUAGAAUUGGCUGGUUGCAGAGGUGUUGCCCCUAUUGUCCCAGCUACUUGGGAGGCUGAGGUAGGGGGAUUUCUUCAGGCCAGGAGUUUGAGACCAGGCUGGGCAACAUAGUGAGACCCCAUGUCUUCAAAAAAUUUUUUUAUGUAGAACUGGUUAAAUCAUUUAUAUGAAAGAAUGAUGUUAUUUUUGUUGAGAGACAAGAUUGGCCCAGUGUGUGGUAUGUGUCAAUUUGAGCAAAUGAUGGAAUUCAAGACAGAAAACAAGAAUCAUGAAAGUUACUUACUGUUUGUGUGGCCUCUUUGGGCAAGGGUUCUUUCAUCCUGUUGAUUCCUAUAUUAUGCAGAAAUUCACAUGAAAAAAGCUAGAAACCUUGGGAAUCCUUUUAAAUUGCUCUUCUACUACAUAUUCAAGUUUUUAUAUCUUCAACAUUAUGUUGUUUUUUGAAAAUAUGGAGUGUUCAGUAGAUUAAGGAGUGUUCAGUUUGAUUAAGCAUUCAUUCUUUUUUUAAAUGAAAGAAAAAAAGCUCAGAGGUAGAACCCUUCAUUGCUAGAAGGUAUUAAUUCGCCGCACCUUACUCAGAAAGGGUAUAAAUUAACCAAACCUUUCUCAGAAAAAAAAUUAUGUAAUAAAGCAGGCCAGAGUAAAUGCAGAUUGUUUUCUUUCUUUAUGAUUUCUUGUUGUAAAUAAUUGUCAGGGUUCAGAGAUUCAUGUUUUUAAGGCUUAUAAGAUGAAAUCAAAUUUUUAUAGAAACUUAAGAUAGGGGAAACAGUUUUGAAGUCAAACCUGAGUUAAGGUUAUAGCUCUAGAACUUACUAAUUGUGUGCUCCUGAGAAGAUCAAAUUUUUGAGCUUUAUCUUCUUACAUGUAGUAUGGGAAUGACAAUGUCAGCCUUAUGGGGCUUGCUGAAAGAUUAAAUGAAAAUUACAUAUAUGAUACGUUGUACAUAAUGAUCUUCAAAGAGCUAUUUCCUGUCCCUUCCCUGUACUACAGAACAAAUUAACAGAUGAAAAGAAAUGUUCUGAACUGAACAGGGAAAAGGUAGUGCCUAUCUUUAUACUAAUCCAUAUGUUCUCAACCCUGUUUUUAUGUUAAAAUCAUUUGUAUAGCUUAGAAGUACUGAGUACCAGGGCCUUCAUUCAUAAAUUCUAAUUUAAUUGUCCUGGAAUGGAUCCAGGCAUUGAUUCUUUAGAAGCAUGCCAGCCAGAAGGCACACGAUGUGACAAUAAAGACUCUUUUUAUAGUAGAAGAUGUAAAGAGUUCCAUUGUAAGAGUGGAGAAGAUUUGUUGUAAGUUUGUUUAUUUUUGGAAAACUGAUCAUGAGAAAGAUUGGUUUUUCUUACAGGUAUAGCAGUAACUUUAUUACAUAAAGCACAUCUUUGAAGUUGUACUGGAUAAAAUGAGAUCCUCACAUCAAUUGGGGUUACAAUAGCAGGAAGGAGACUUUUCAAAUCCUAAGAGUUAUCUAAACUUUUAGACCAUGAUUUUGUACCUUUUGUGCCCAAUUUUGAAAAUGUCAGUAAAUGUGUUCUUAACAUUUAGCUAUCAGACAAAAGAGUGUUCAUAUAAUCUCCGUCUCCUUGAGUUGUGAAAUUUCACCAGUGGUAGUUUCCAGAUGCUUUUCAGAACAGCCAGUUUCACCCAGCCUGUGAUUUGACUGUGUAUAUUUGUUACUGGAUUUCCUAUUUAAUUAUAUUUGUAGGGACAACAUUUUGUGUUGUUUUAAUAAAAGUCAAGCCAUAACCUGCUUA